CCGGUUCAUCUCCUGGAGCCUUAGAUCCAAGAGGUCCUCUCGACUGUGAGUCUCGAGGGUCUUCUGACAGAAUGGAGGUACGGAUUCUCUGGGAGUGGAAUCAUGAUCAAACUAAGGGCUCUCCACCCUCGACUUCCCCUUUUCGGGGAAGAUAGGGCGACUGGCCCAAGUGGCCUACCCUAUUGUCAGAUUUUAGAACUCCG
rnacentral:lncRNA from 1 species